UAGUUGUUGGGGCCUUCGGGCCUUGGUAGCGCAGCUAACGCGUGAAGUUGACCGCCUGGGGAGUACGGUCGCAAGAUUAAAACUCAAAGGAAUUGACGGGGACCCGCACAAGCGGUGGAUGAUGUGGAUUAAUUCGAUGCAACGCGAAAAACCUUACCUACCCUUGACAUGUCUGGAAUGCCGAAGAGAUUUGGCAGUGCUCGCAAGAGAACCGGAACACAGGUGCUGCAUGGCUGUCGUCAGCUCGUGUCGUGAGAUGUUGGGUUAAGUCCCGCAACGAGCGCAACCCUUGUCAUUAGUUGCUACGAAAGGGCACUCUAAUGAGACUGCCGGUGACAAACCGGAGGAAGGUGGGGAUGACGUCAAGUCCUCAUGGCCCUUAUGGGUAGGGCUUCACACGUCAUACAAUGGUCGGGACAGAGGGUUGCCAACCCGCGAGGGGGAGCUAAUCCCAGAAACCCGAUCGUAGUCCGGAUCGCAGUCUGCAACUCGACUGCGUGAAGUCGGAAUCGCUAGUAAUCGCGGAUCAGCAUGUCGCGGUGAAUACGUUCCCGGGUCUUGUACACACCGCCCGUCACACCAUGGGAGUGGGUUUUACCAGAAGUAGUUAGCCUAACCGCAAGGGGGG
rnacentral:rRNA from 1 species